rnacentral:lncRNA from 1 species
GCCUCCCCAAGGCACACGCUGCCAUGCCAUCAUCUUAAACCAGGACACAAAGGUGUCACCAGAGCCCUUCUCUACUCACAGCUCCACGGGCUGCCCACUCUCACAGUGGAACUCUCUGAAAUCAGUGCUUUGUUCUCCAGCCCAAGUGUCAGCUGCAAUUUUUCUUUCCCUCUUUGCCUGCACCCCUGCUCAGAAACUGGUCUUGUCACGGAUCUCCACGGCCCACCUUGCUAAGAAUGGGAGCAGCUUCUGCACGCACAGCGGCCCUUGACACAGCGGCUGUCUCUCCUAGAAGCAGCCUCUCCUGUCCCGCGGGCUUCACCUCCGAGUUCCCUCUGCAACCCAGCGCUGCUCCCUUUCCUUUGUGCCUCAAAGGCACCAUCUGUGCUCUUCUCCUUCUCUGGCCUCGCUUCCCAGGAUUCAUUCUCAGCCCCGAGAUAAUGGACCUAUCAACAGAACUCUUCCCAAGUGGACCGGGGAGCCUGUGUCUCCACAAGAGACCUUUUGAUUAUUUCCUGAAAUUUAAUCCUCAAAUGCAAGAAGGGGAAAUUGUCCUCUAUCUUUUUUUUCUUCUACACAUUUGUUUUUGUGACUUGAGAAGACUCAGUGAGAUGGAGAGGCUGAACCUUCUGAUUCUGCCCGAAGCCAGCUCUGCCCAUCAACCAGCUGCCAAGUGCAAAUCAAGAGGAGACGCAACCUAGCAAUAAUGAUGCAGAGCAAAGAGGUUAAUGUAUAUGGGUUUUGUUUUGUAAUUUCUUUUUCUUUUUUUGCAAGUGUCCUGUAGGGCCAGCACAUGGCCCCAAAUGUGGGACUCAGUAAUGGACACCACAUGUUACCAAUAAGCUCUUCCCUCAGGAGCCAAAAGCCACGGUGGAAGUACAAGGCAGGGAAGCUGGCCCCUGGCUCUCAUGUCCACUCCAUUACCUUCCUCCCCAAGGGCUUUAUCUGUGCUUGGCAAGGUGCUCUGCAUUCUCACAGACAUCAGAAAGGAGGAAGGGAGGAUAAAGAAUCACCGUGCCCACAUGACAGCAUCAGGUUCUCAUGCACACACUGGGCGAGGGGUGGGAGGAAAGACCCUUUCCACUGUGAAACCACUGGAACUCAGGGGCUUUCCAGCAUCUGGAAGUAAAACAGAGCACACUUUUUUUAUGGGAUAGACCAGGUAUCUGAGACUCUCAGGUCAAAAAAGUUAGAGUGGUUAGAGUGAUUUACAAAACUAUCUGAUAGAAAGUUUCUGAAACCCAAUGUGCUUACAAAUUUACUCUUAGAAUCUAAAACCACUCACAUCAAGAAUUUAUCCCAAGUGUAUGUCAAAUUAAU